rnacentral:rRNA from 1 species
GGCUGAAAUUCGCCUUCAUGAAGUCGGAAUUGCUAGUAAUGGCAGGUCAGCAUACUGCCGUGAAUACGUUCCCGGGCCUUGUACACACCGCCCGUCACACCAUGAGAGUUGGAGAUACCCGAAGCCUAUGAGCUAACUUUUAGAGGCAGUAGUCGAAGGUAGAAUCAACGAUUGGGGUGAAGUCGUAACAAGGUAUC